UGUAAGUGUGCAUUAGUACAUGCUAACGAUAUUCAAAAAGUACAUACCUCAAAGAAAACGAUGACGCGAGUUAUCGUCUCUAACGUUCGAGGACUACAAAAAACACUCGGAUUGUAGGCAACAGUUUACUUCCUGGGAUUAGUGACGUAGAUAAGACCAACAUUAUCAUAGUUCAGCCCUCUCUGCUUUGCUUGGGUACGCCCUCAAAGACGAGGGUGGGGUGGGGAGCGCCGAGUCAGAAGAGAGCUAAAAUGGCGGAGGUUGGGAGUCCCUGCUUUGACUCUGUUUGCAAACUCUUGUUUCAUUGUUUAAGCGAUUAAAUCUCUCGAGUAGACGCUGUCUCUUUAGAUGCGAGGGCAAAAUAGCACUUUAUGGACUUCCACAGAGGACAUCAUGUUUAAUACGGUUCCGGAAAAAUCCAGUCAGAAGUUGUUCACGGAGUUUUCACAAUAACUGCUUCUCAUGAACCGAAGCUGGAUUUGAGCGACGUCUCCUCUUGAAAGUUGGAUUACUGUGCACUUCUGGAUCACAGACUAUUCGCAGCUGUACACAUCCUUCUACACUGUAUGCAAACAUGCAACAUCAUUACACACAGUACAAGGAGUCAGACUGGCAUAUGAGGAGCAAAGGAACCCAGACAGUAGCAUCGUUUCACAAUGUUUCCAUCAUCAUCAGUGGAUGCCUUUGCCGUCCGUAGCCUGAGAUUUCAGAUUUGCAGCAAAAAAAAAAUGAUUUUCUCAUUUAUUGGAAUGCUGUGCAGGUAUUUGUACCUUGCAGCCAUCCAUUACAAUGUCACCAAGCCGUAACAAAAGCAGGAGAGGGAAAGUACAAGGCUAUGUUCCCAAAACACAAAUGACAUACCUUAUGUGGAGGAUGUGAUCAGGCUUGUGUUUGAUGAGGUAUUUGAAGAUAAGCUGAAGGAAACCCCGAUUCCAAUGGACCUGGCAUCACAGUUUGAGAGACCUUCAAAGGAGGACGUGAUUGCAUGCCAUCUUCAGUGCAGGGGUCGUCGAAAGCCAAA